UACGAAGGGUGCAAACGUUGCUCGGAAUUAUUGGGCGUAAAGCGCACGUAGGCGGCUUAGCAAGUUGGAUGUGAAAUCCCUCGGCUCAACCAAGGAAGUGCAUCCAAAACUGCUGAGCUUGAGUUCUGGAGAGGAAGGCGGAAUUCUCGGUGUAGAGGUGAAAUUCGUAGAUAUCGAGAGGAACACCGGUGGCGAAGGCGGCCUUCUGGACAGUGACGUGACGCUGAGGUGGCGAAA
rnacentral:rRNA from 1 species